ACUACACAUUUGCAAACAUUAGUUUUAGAUACACUUUCAUAGUAACUCACUGCAUGAGUAAUGUUAAUCUGAAAGACGUAUAUGAUCAUUAUUUAUGUCCCAGGUUGUUCCUCCGUGAUUAGCAAGGUGUACCAGAUCCCACACGCUUUAAUAAGUAACCCUGGAGAGAAUGUCGAGCUACGCUGCAAUCACAAGCAGACUGGCGCCAAUUAUAUUUACUGGUACCAGCAAUCUGUGAUGGGAGAGCUCCAAUUUCUUGGCAGACUCUUCUACUCGGAGCACAUCAUGGAAAAGGACGUCGAUAAGCGGUUAUCCAUGGCCGGGACGGCUACUUCCAGCGGCUUGUUGCUCAUUUCAAACGCCUCAGUAAAGGACAGCGGUGUUUAUUUUUGCACAGCAACGACCACAGUGAAACCAAUCCUCCACUUCCCUUAACAAAAACUCAACUGGUCCAAACUUGUAUCCGUGAACAUAUGGUUAUUUUAGGAUGAAACGAUUUAUUGAAGUGUUAGGUUUAGUUUAAUGGCAAAGAUUGAUGAAGCUUAACCAAUGGUGCGUGGCUUUUAGCUCAAUGUAUUCGUGCGUGGUCUUUUGUGUGGGAAAUUGUGGUUCUUAUCUCGCUCAAUGCGCAAGGCAAUACUGUUUCCUAGCGGUAUAGGAGCCCAUGGUGGAGUCUUGCCUCUUCUGGGCAAGCUGUACAUUGCCCUCUCCAGCUACUUAAACCACAGCCAACAUCAGCCUCCAGGGCCGUGUACACGCACACAUGUAUCUCAAGGCUCACUAUAGAUUCCUUCUGUGCAGUCAAUCGAGGGCACUGCUAAAAGUGCCCCACUUCCAGGGCCGGAUUAACAAUUUUCUGUGCCCUGGGCAACACACGCAUUUUGAUCGAACGAGUUGCAAUAAAGUACUCACAUUAAGGAAAGUUAGGACUGCGUUCAUAACGUGAUAUAACAUUUUAGUUGACAUUGUCCAGGCCCCCUUAGAUGUCAUGUGCCCCUGGGCCCAGUUGCCCUAAUGGUUAAUCCGGCCUUGCCCACUUCCUCAACAUAAACCCCUUCUAAAAUGUUUGUUUCAGGAGGACUGAGUAAUGCACAAUUCAAGUGUUCUUUUCAUAAACAUUUGAUAUUAUUUGGUGCAUGUGGGUGGCUCCUCUGUAUAAUUUUAAUUCAGGAAGUGACGUGUUUUACUGUGGUGGUUGAACUGAUUAUGUUAUUUCCUGCCUGCCGCGUUCUGUACUUGUCAGUGUUUGUAUUGUGUUUGUCUCUGACUGAGUCAACAUGUUCCGAGCCCUCACCAUCAGUGUCUUUGCUCUCUGGCACACAGGUUGGAGCCAGACUGUGCUGAUCACCCAGUGGCCAGGCUACAUCUCCAGCCAGCCUGACGCCUCGGUGGAGAUGCACUGUUAUCAGAACAACACAGACCAUCCCUACAUGUUCUGGUACAGGCAGCUGAGAGGGAAGGAGCCCGUGCUGAUGGCUACUCUCGUAGCUGGGUCUCCGAGCUACGAACCUGGGUUUGAUUCUGGCUUUGGAGUGUCAAGCUCGGAGAAAAAGAUGUGGUCUCUGGCCGUGGAGGCGGUGCGCAGUACUGACGAGGCGGUGUAUCUGUGCGCUGCCAGUCAGCACGGUGCUGCAGAGUCACGGAGCUCUGAGACAAUAUCCCUCCCUGGGAGGCUGCCAGGAGGCUCUGACACCUGCUGUUCAUGGCCCAGCCUGCUCACUGGUGGUGGGAAAGAAUGGGUCUUCCUAAGUAGGCAGUUACCUUAUCUACCUCCAGAGGGGGAAAAAAGUUGAUUUAUUUUAAUUCUGACUUAAAGCCAUUACAUGUUUGGGCAGAAACCAACCAUGGACAAAUCCUCUUGGAUGAGGACUUUCUGUAGCCAUGAGGAACAGGACAACAUGGGUCAUGUUUCUGUGUCUAUCUUUAAUCCAAAAUGACAUACAAAUACUACAUUUAGAAAAUGCAGCAGAUCAAGGAUCUGAAUUACAUUAUUCUAACUUCAUUUCAGGGGUUAGUCAAGGAACAGGCUAUAUUUACCAGGCACAAUGCAAAG